GCCUGCUGGGAGCCGCGGGGGGGGGGCGGGGCCAUGGCCGUCUGGGGCCUGCCUGAAGGCCCGUGAGAGGCGGAGGCUUCGGCCGGGCCUCCCCUGCGGGGAAGGGGAUGCAGCCGCGACCCGCCUCCAUUUCUCCCCUGCAGGAGCACGGAGGAGCCCGGCGGAGGAAAGGAGGAGGCGCCGCUCGAGAGGAGGAGGCUGGAAAAGGCCGGCAGUCUCCGGGGCUGCAGGAGGGAUGAGUCGAAGGGGACUUCGGGAAAGGCGGCUGUCCGGAGGGCGAUGCGGGGAGAAGGACACGGGCGGAGACCCCGAGAUGGGCCUGGAGGGCGGAGAGUCCUUCGAAAGACCCGGGAAUCCCCAGAGAAUCCAGGAGGGAGGAAAGGAAUAUCAGUGCCCGGAAUGUGAAAAAUCCUUCAAAACAAAUUCACAUCUUCAGAGCCAUCUAAGGAGCCACCCAAAAGACCAACCAUUUAAAUGCCUGAAGUGCGGAAAAAGCUUCAAUCAUAGGGGCAACUUUGAUAGACAUCAAAGAAUCCACUCAGGAGAAAAGCCUCAUAAAUGCCCGGAGUGUGGAAAGAGCUUCAGUCAGUUGGGAAACCUCUCUAGACAUCAAAGGGUCCAUUCCAGAGAAAAGCCAUACAAAUGCCUGGAGUGUGGAAAGAGAUUCCAUCUGAAGGAAUACCUUUAUAGACAUCAACAAAGGAUCCACUCGGAAGAGACACUGAAUAAAUGCCUGGAGGGUGGAGGGUCCUUCGGAAGACCUGGGAAUCCCCAGAGGAUCCAGGAAGGAGAAGAGAAAUAUCAGUGCCCACAAUGCGAAAAAUCCUUCAAAAGAAACGGAGAUCUUGAAAGGCAUCUAAGAAUCCACUUAUUUGGAAACCCAUUUCAAUGCUUUGAGUGUGGAAAGAACUUCAAUCGGACAAGAGAUCUUACGCAACAUCAAAGAAUCCACACAGGAGAGAAACCUUAUAAGUGCCCGGAGUGUGAAAAGCGCUUCUGUCAUAGCAGCAGCCUUCAUAAACAUCAAAGGAUCCACUCGGAAGAGAAACUAAAUCAAUCCCUGGAGGGCGGAGGGUCCUUCCGAAGAGCCAGGAGGCCCCAAAGGAUGCAGGAGGGAGGAAAGAAAUACAAAUGCCCGGAAUGUGAAAAAUCCUUCAAAAGAAAUGGACAUCUUCAAGGCCAUCUAAGCAUCCAUUCAGGAGAAAAGAAAUACGAAUGCCCAGAAUGUGAAAAAUCCUUCAGAACAAAAGAUCUUCUUCAAAGCCAUCUAAAAAUCCACACGGGAGAAAAACCUUAUAAAUGCUUUGAGUGUGGAAAGAGCUUCCCUCACAGGAGCAGCCAUGAUAGACAUCAAAGAGUCCACACAGGAGAAAAACCUUAUAAAUGCUUUGAGUGUGGAAAGAGCUUCAGUCAGACGAGCAGCCUUAAUGCACAUCAAAGAAUCCACACAGGAGAAAAACCUCAUAAAUGCUUGGAGUGUGGAAAGAACUUUGGUCAUAGCAGCAUCCUUUAUAGACACCAAAGGAUCCACUCAGGAGAGAAACCUUAUAAGUGCCUGGAGUGUGGAAAGAACUUUGGUCAUAGCAGCAGCCUUAGUAAACAUCAAGUAAUUCAUUUACAAGAACACUACGAAUGCUGGGAAUGUGAAAAAGGCUUCAAAACCAUUCAAAUCCUUGAAAAACAUGUAAGAAUCCACUCAAUAGAACAAAUGAACAAGUGACCUUCUUCAAAGCCAUCUAAGAAAUCCACUUAGGAGAAAACCCUAAUAAAUGCCUGGCGUGUGGCAAAAGCUUCAGUCAGACAAGCAGCUGUUACGCACAUCAAAGAAUCCUCGUGGGAGAAAAAUGUCAUAAAUGUCUGACAUGAGGAAAAACCUUUGGUAAUGAGACCAUCCUCUAUGAACAUCAAAGGAUCCACUCAGGAGAGAAACCCUAUAGAUGCCUGGAGUGUGGAAAGAGUUCUGUCACAGGAGCAUCCUCUACAAGCAUCAAAGAAUCCACAUGGGAGAAAAACCUUAUAAGUGUCUGCAGUGUGGGAAGAGCUUCAACAUAAGAGGUUCUCUCUAUAGACAUCAAAUGCUUCACACAAGAGAAAACCAUAUCCGGGCCUGGAGUAUGGAAAGAGUUUCUGUGAGAGUGGAAGUCUCCACAUGGGAGAAUAACCAGAUACAGUUAGUCCUCGAUUUACAGUAGUUCAUUUAGUGACUGUUCAAAGUUACAAUGGCACUGAAAACAGUGACU